GUGGUAGCCACCUAAGGUGGGCUGGAGCCACUGCCCAACCCUAUCCACUUCUACCCUAGGCCUCAGUUUCCCCUUUCCUCACACAGGGCACUAAUAACAAGGAGCUAGCCUUGCCCACUCCCACCCUUCUGCUCCUUCCCACCCCCUAAGGUUCUGGUUCCAUCUUUCCUCUGUUCACAAACUACCUCUGGAUAGUUGUGUUGGUUUUGUUCAAUGUUUCCAUUCUUAGACAUCCGUCAUUGCUGCUGUGACCAGCGCCAAAUGUUCAUCCUCAUUGCCUCCUCCUGUUCUGCCCACAUCCCCCUCCUCCAAGAUGCUCUUAGGGGAAGGGGCCUGGGGCAGAGCAGGCUGGGUUACCGACCACCCCAGUCCCAGGGAAGGUAGGGGCCUUGCCCCUAGGAUGCUGCAGCAGAGUGAGGACUGUCUCUUAAACA